GGAUGUGGGGGUGAUCUGGCUGUGACAUCUGUCACCUCACUGAUCUGCAGGGUUGAAUCAGCUGAUCUGGCUGGUUAGGUGGAUGUGCCCUUCCUUCCCCAAUGCUCCACAUGCAUCCCUCCUGAAGCUAAAUUAAUUUUAGAUGGAAAACUCAGCCAUUCUGUUACAUGGACAUGCCUAAUUUCAGUGGUGAAAUGUAGAUCAUUCUAA
rnacentral:snRNA from 1 species